GACGAACGCUGGCGGCGUGCCUAAUACAUGCAAGUAGAACGCUGAAGGGAGAGCUUGCUCUUCUGGAUGAGUUGCGAACGGGUGAGUAACGCGUAGGUAACCUGCCUGGUAGCGGGGGAUAACUAUUGGAAACGAUAGCUAAUACCGCAUAACAUUGACUAUUGCAUGAUAGUCAAUUGAAAGGUGCAAAUGCACCACUACCAGAUGGACCUGCGUUGUAUUAGCUAGUUGGUGGGGUAACGGCUCACCAAGGCGACGAUACAUAGCCGACCUGAGAGGGUGAUCGGCCACACUGGGACUGAGACACGGCCCAGACUCCUACGGGAGGCAGCAGUAGGGAAUCUUCGGCAAUGGACGGAAGUCUGACCGAGCAACGCCGCGUGAGUGAAGAAGGUUUUCGGAUCGUAAAGCUCUGUUGUAAGAGAAGAACGAGUGUGAGAGUGGAAAGUUCACACUGUGACG
rnacentral:rRNA from 1 species